AUGUCACAGGCCAGUCAAUAAGCCCCACAGAAGACUUUGUAUUAAAGAAAAUGAUUUGGAUCUGCAUGAUCAUCACUUCUCUGGCAACAACAGCACUUUCAACAGGUUCUCUUGAAUGCAACUUAACUAAUCCUACUCCAACAACCAAACAGUGUUUGGGAAAACUUGGGGCACCGCUGAUUUUUUACCUACCCACUUCAACUAAAUUUAAUUUGAGAAAAAAUGGUAGCAUCAUUAACACAAACAAUAACAAUGCAACAAGAAAGCUCAGCAAGGCAUCAAGGGAAGAUUCUGGAGAUUACCUGCUGGAAACAUUUAAUUCCACUUCUGGCCUUCGCUUGAAUGAAAUCAGUAUACACGUAGAAAUACAAGGUAGGAGAAAAAGUUGUAGUUGCGUUCUUCAAAUCAAAAAUAUUAAUGGAUUUAGCUGGCUACAAUGAAAUAAAUUUGCAAAUGAGUAAAUAUUUUAUACACUUAAUUUAUCAAUAAAAUGUUAAAAGCAUUAUUGAAAUAGAACUGAAAGAGAUGUUUGUCUUCCAGCUCCUGUGUCUAAACCAGCUGUGUCUCAGACAUGUUUGUCACCAGAACAGAUGAAGGUCAGCUGCUCCUCUGAGGGAGAUGGAGCAGAGAUCAUUUUAUCUUUGGACAAUAACUUAUUGAUUCACAGCGGAGCUACAGAAAAACACAAUGUCUCAAAUGUUACCGUCAGUUUAUACGGUCAGAUGACAGGAAACCUGACAUGUGAUGUUCAAAACAACAUCAGCAGAGAACAAACAGUCAUCCAGCUCACAAGAUGUUCCAGUUCAGGUUCCAGUUCAGGUGGAGUAUUCCAAGAAAUCAUUCAUUAUCAUGUGACCACUGUAUGUACGUGAUAUCAGUACCUAAUUUGGAUUUCCAUUCAUAUUUUUCAGGUAAUAAUUGUCCCACGUUUCUUGUGACUGUGGCUGUGAGAGCAAGUGCUGCUGCUCUUCUGCUCCUUUCGUCUCUAUUUCUUCUUCUCAGUUGCAAAUAUUUAAAGUCAAGAAGAUCCGUGACAGUUAAGUAUGGUAAGAGAUAGAUGAUUUCUCCAAUCUCAUGUCUCACCGCCCGUACUGAUUAUUUAUGCAUUUUCUUAAUAAAUAAAAAAUAUUCUGAAUGAUCUUUUUUUUUUUUUUUUUUUUUUACUUCUGUCAGAUGUCGCUGAAGAUGAAAUCACUCAGACAAAUGUGGAAGAACAAGAUCCCAUUCACAACACGGUGUGACUUUUUUUUCUUCUUCUUGUUUUUUUUUUUUUUUUUUUUUACAUUUUCUCCUACAACUUCAUCCAAUACCUAUCUUUAAUGUCAUUAUUAAUCUUAAAGGCAGCUACCAAACCAGAUAUUUUCAUGAUCAAAUGAAGAAACAAUACUAUGGGAGCAACAAACAUUGCCGGUUGCAUAUUAACAUAAAUUCAUUGGCCACCUUACUAGAUAGGCCUACUGGGGUUUCAUCAUUUUUUUUUUUUUUUAAAGUCGACUAAUAUGCAGUGAAAGUCGAAACAAUGUUGACUAGUUGAUGACAUCGCACAUAAAAACACAGUAGAAAGUAAUGCUUUACUAAAGUAGUAGUUAAAUCUACAUCUUCGACCUGAAUAGAUAUUGUAGCUUUUCAGACAAAAGAAGCUAUGGCUUCCUCUGAGAGGUAACUUGAACACAGACUACUGUUGGCCAGAGACCACAUCAACACCAUAAACACCGACAAUCUGACUUGUCUAAUAUGUGGCUCUCGCUUGGAAAUAAAAUUAAUGACACAUUCUACAACUACAGCAACAGUUUCAACUGAUAGAACACAAGAGAAGUGAACGUAAACACAUGAGCUUAUCAAUACUGUGGACUAAAGAUAUGCCUACAUAGUCUAUAUAAAUCAGCACCAUCAACAGCUUUUAAGUAAGGGAAAAUGCCCGAUGAGGUGUCCAUUAUCAGAAAUGGAUGGACAAUGCAGAGGCGUGAACCGUUGCUUCCAUUAAUUUCUGAUAAUGGACACCAUGGUCACUUACGAAAUAAAUAAAUAUUAGGUCAAUUAUUAAUAUGUUAAUGUCGUUUUUUACCGUUUAAAGUUUUUCACAAGAAGCGGCUGAGCGAACUAUUUAACAUCUCCUAUUCACAGGCGUUGCCAGGGAAACCUGCUGUGGCCGCACAGUAGUCUAUGGUAGAACCAGCAGCUCGAUCGGCUGCAGCAGUUAUUAAUCAGCGGAGAUGAUUGCUUAACAUCACAUUACGUGAUACAAAGUAUAAUUUUAGAAGGCCAGUGCACUUAUUACUGCGUGUGUCCAGAGGAUAAUGGGAAAUUUCCACAGAGUCCACAGUUUCCUAAAUCGUUUUUAUUGCAAGAAAUAUUAUCCACCAUUCACUCUAAUUAUUUAAUGUGUAGAAAGGAAAUCAAGCAAGAGGGUAAGCAAGACAGCAAGACAGAUAUGGCAGUGGGCAAGAGGUAAUAGUAACAAAAUAGCUAUUUAAAAUUAAAUGUAACAUUGCCAUUGAUUGUAAAAUUUGAGAGACACUGGCAUGUCCAUCAUAGCAUUUGGAGUCUCUAAGUGUUUUAACUGCCCAUUUCGUGAUUUUCUUUGUGUUAAUCUCAUCCUUAACAUCCGGUAUCACCUACUUGUUUCAUAUUCUCUUCUCUCUUUCUCUUCUGCUGCAUCCCAGUCUUCAAAAUUUUUGUCAACUGUAUUGCUGUUGUGAUAAAUAAACUGUGAAAUAACA